CCUACGGGUGGCAGCAGUGAGGAAUAUUGGUCAAUGGGCGGGAGCCUGAACCAGCCAAGUCGCGUGAAGGAAGAAGGUACUUAGUAUUGUAAACUUCUUUUGUCGGGGAACAAAGGCGGAGACGCGUCUCCGGAUGAGUGUACCCGAAGAAAAAGCAUCGGCUAACUCCGUGCAAGCGGCCGCGGUAAUACGGAGGAUGCGAGGGUUAUCAGGAUUUGUUGGGGUUAAAGGGUGCGCAGGGGGGAGAUCAAGUCAGUGGGAAAAGGUCGGGGCUCAACCCCGGCCGGCCGUGGAAACUGGUUGUCUAGAGUUGGAGAGAAGUAUGCGGAAAUCGUGGUGUAGCGGUGAAAUGCAUAGAUAUCACGAAGAACUCCGAUGGCGAAGGCAGCAUACCGGCUCCAUACUGACGCUGAGGCACGAAAGCGUGGGGAUCGAACAGGAUUAGAUACCCCAGUAGUC
rnacentral:rRNA from 1 species